rnacentral:rRNA from 1 species
GCAACGAGCGCAACCCUAACCCUCUGUUGCCACCAGGUAAUGCUGACCACUGUCAGGGGACUGCCGGUGAUAAACCGGAGGAAGGUGGGGAUGACGUCAAGUCCUCAUGGCCUUUAUGUCCAGGGCUACACACGUGCUACAAUGACAGGUACAAAGGGUCGCAAAACCGUGAGGUUGAGCUAAUCCCAGAAAGCCUGCCCCAGUUCGGAUUGGAGUCUGCAACUCGACUCCAUGAAGGUGGAAUCGCUAGUAAUCGUGGAUCAGCAGGCCACGGUGAAUACCUUCCCGGGCCUUGUACACACCGCCCGUCACAUCACGAAAGUUGGCUGUACUAGAAGUCGCUGGGCCAACCCGCAAGGGAGGCAGGUGCCGACGGUAUGGUUGAUGAUUGGGGUGAAGUCGUAACAAGGUAAAUCAC